rnacentral:rRNA from 1 species
UAGCUUGCUAAUGAAAUUCUUAGUGGCGGACGGGUUAGUAACACGUGAGAAUCCUACCCUUGAGUGGGGAAUAGCCUUUCGAAAGGAAGAUUAAUGCCCCAUAGUCUCUACGGAGUAAAGAUGCCUUCGGGUGUCGCUUAAGGAUGGGCUCGCGGCCUAUCAGCUAGUUGGUGAGGUAAGAGCUCACCAAGGCAACGACGGGUAGCUGGUCUGAGAGGACGAUCAGCAACACUGGAACUGAGACACGGUCCAGACACCUACGGGUGGCAGCAGUCGAGAAUCAUUCACAAUGGACGAAAGUCUGAUGGUGCAACGCCGCGUGGAGGAUGACGGCCCUAGGGUUGUAAACUCCUGUCAUCAGGGAGUAAGACUUAUUCGUUAAU